GGAAAUGUGCCUGAGAAUUAAGGGCCACUGUGAUAAAGUGGAUACAGAGGUGCAUCAACCCUCUCAUUUCCU
rnacentral:tRNA from 1 species